GCUUCUUUGGCUUAGGCAGGCCAGAGCACGUGGUAAGUAAUCACGGCGGCGUUGGUUCGAAUCCGACAAGAAGCUCCA
rnacentral:tRNA from 1 species